GCCGUGUCUUUCCCAAAUUAAUUAUGUACAAAAAAAUAUGUUCUUGCCUGUCACAUCUAAUAGAACUGAUGAUUUUUUAGGAGAGAGGAAUUCUUAAGGAAGCAAACUUGGAGAGGAAAAUGCAAGCACUAGUUCCUCAUAAGGAAAUUAUAGCAGCUUUUACGCUCCUAAGUAGAAGUUUGCACAAAAAGCAUGGGAAUGAAAUCCAAAGAAAUGAGAAGUGCCUCGAGCAAAGAAAGUGCAAUCACGAUACAAAUGAAAGCAGUGGAAAUGAAUUACAGAAAAAUUAUCAAAAGGAUGAACCCAAACAGAGUUGAACAGCUUCAGAAGGACAAGCAUAUCCAAAGAUAGCUACUAUAACCCCACAGAGAUGUUCCAAAUCAACACAACAAAAACCUAAACUAAUAACCUCCAGACUUGAAUAUGGCAGGGAUGUUACUAGUAAAAAAUCA